UGCGGGGUAGUGCAGUGGUAGCAUACCGGUCUCAUAAGCCAGUGAUCGUGGGUUAGCUGCGCUGCUGCCUUCGGCGGUCGAACCCUCUUCCCGCAUCAA
rnacentral:tRNA from 1 species